rnacentral:rRNA from 1 species
AUGGUAGUAGCUUUUCGUUUUCUUUGCGGUUUGGGUAUAAGCAGGCAAGCGAGCAAGCAGAGGAGGGCGCGCAAUGGAGCAGUGGCAUCAUCAAGGAUUCAAGCAAACAAGGGAUGGGAGAUCGGAGAAGGGAGGAGGAAGGGGAAGAAGAUGGAGGCCGGAGAAAGAAUUGUACAGUAUAGUUUUUGCUGUAACUUUCCUAUAUAUACCCCCCAACCACGCCCGUAUCCGGUGCAUUCCCAUAGAAAGUUACUACUGCCAUUGUUGUCAGCGCUGCUGCAAGGAGCUCUAGGCUCUCUCGCUUAA